AUGGAGUUAAAUAACGGACAGAGUCAGAAAGGGGAGGAUGAAGAUAGGUUCAGCGAGUUGUCUGAUGAUAUUUUACUGUCCAUCUUGGCGAGAGUCAACAUAACUACCGCUGCAAGGACAAGUGUCUUGUCUACACGGUGGAAACACCUACCAUGGUUGCUCCACGAGCUCAGGUUUGAUGUCAAAGCUUUUUUACCCACCCCACACCCAGACCCUGUUGAAGCUGAGCAUAUGGAUGCUGCUAUGGCAUCUCUGACCAAUGCGAUAAGGAGCUUCUUGGGUACCCCCAGAGCGAAGCUACCAUCUCAAAGCUGCAACUUAAGCUCUAUUUGAUCAACAAUUACUCAAAUGUUGUUGGCCCUCUACUUCGUGAAGCGAUUGACAUUGGGACUCUUAAAGAUUUAGACCUUGCCAUUGUUGAUGAGAAGGAGCCUGGUGACUGCAAUGAUGAGCAUAUGCUCCAUCAAGCUUCUGUUGUUGAUGGCUUCUUCAGUGCCUAUCCUAGUGUGAUCCAUUGCCUCACAAGACUGUCUUUGGAUAAUGUUUGUUUUGCUAAAUGGGACAUGCAUCACCUGCUAUUUGACUGUUGCAAGCAACUUCAGUCUCUCUUACUCAGCAACUGUGAUAUGGGAGGACUCUCGGUAUGGAAGAUAGAAGCACCAGACUCGCAUCUUUCUGUUCUGGAACUCGAAACCUGCUGCUUGCGCAAACUUGAGGUGCUACACCUUCCAAAACUAGAACGACUUUAUUGGGAUGGCUGGAUUUGCCCAAAUGCCCCCCUGUCACUUGGUGUUGUCCCGUCCCUUACGGAACUGCACCUCAUAUCUGCUGCCACUGAUGGUUCUCAAGAAUUUAAGUUAAGCGAUGUUAUAAGAGAUACCAUGACUCUACAAAACCUAACAUUAAGUUUCCAAGGAGAGAAGAUUUGGUUGCAACCAGAAGGAAAACAACUCUGCACUGUGUUCAAUAAACUAAGGAAGCUAUCACUACUUGACAUAUUUGUCGAUUUUGAUCUGCUAUGGACAAUAGUUCUUCUUGAAGCUGCACCAUCUGUCGAGAUAUUUGAGGUUGAGAUUUGGGAGCAUCCAUGUAUAGUGGAUGAUGAGGAAAGAAGACAAAAUUUUAGUGAAAGAAUAAAUCCUUCGUGGAAGGUGGAUGAGUUUGCAACCCAUAAGGAAUGGCUAUUAAAAGAGUUCCGAGUUAUUGGAUUUGCUCCAAUGGAGCAGCAGUUGACCUUUAUAAGGACUGUGAUGAAACGAGCUCCCAAUUUACGAACUCUUGUACUGAAAGAUUACCCAUCUUGUGAGCACUGUGAGGCGAUUGGUGCUCUGCCUCGUUCUGAAAGAUUACCAAAAGAGCAUGUAUACCCAAAGGGAAAGGAUGAACAAGACGUGGUAGUCAUGCAACUCACUGGAGAGAUCGCCAACCCCCAUGUUCAGAUGAUUUUUGUGGACUAAUAGUUGGUUAACUCUAUUUUCUUUGGAGUGUUGAACUCUUAUUUAUUAUAUUUGAUGAUAAUACUAUUUAUAACUUUCAAAUUUUCUGUGCUGCUUGAUUUUCUUGUUCAGUAAAUGAGUUUGUGGGGAGAUCA